GUCUUGGUAGCUCAGUUGGUAGAGCAAAUGACUCUUAAUCAUUGGGUCGAGGGUUCGAGCCCCUCCCGGGACA
rnacentral:tRNA from 1 species